rnacentral:tRNA from 1 species
GGAAACGUGCCCGAAAAUAAGGUCCUCCUUGAUAGGGAGAGCAAUAGAGGUUUAACCCCUCUCGUUUCCU